CCUACGUGAGGCAGCAGUGAGGAAUAUUGGUCAAUGGGCGCGAGCCUGAACCAGCCAAGUAGCGUGAAGGAUGACUGCCCUACGGGUUGUAAACUUCUUUUAUAAAGGAAUAAAGUGAGGCACGUGUGCCUUUUGUAUGUACUUUAUGAAUAAGGAUCGGCUAACUCCGUGCCAGCAGCCGCGGUAAUACGGAGGAUCCGAGCGUUAUCCGGAUUUAUUGGGUUUAAAGGGAGCGUAGAUGGGUUGUUAAGUCAGUUGUGAAAGUUUGCGGCUCAAACGUAAAAUUGCAAUUGAUACUGGCAGCCUUGAGUACAGUAGAGGUGGGCGGAAUUCGUGGUGUAGCGGUGAAAUGCUUAGAUAUCACGAAGAACUCCGAUUGCGAAGGCAGCUCACUGGACUGCAACUGACACUGAGGCUCGAAAGUGUGGGUAUCAAACAGGAUUAGAUACCCCAGUAGUC
rnacentral:rRNA from 1 species